rnacentral:rRNA from 1 species
CCUACGGGAGGCAGCAGUGAGGAAUAUUGGUCAAUGGGCUUACGCCUGAACCAGCCAAGUCGCGUGAGGGAAGACUGCCCUAUGGGUUGUAAACCUCUUUUGUCAGGGAGCAACGCCGGCUACGUGUAGCCGGACUGAGAGUACCUGAAGAAAAAGCAUCGGCUAACUCCGUGCCAGCAGCCGCGGUAAUACGGAGGAUGCGAGCGUUAUCCGGAUUUAUUGGGUUUAAAGGGUGCGUAGGCGGAAUGCCAAGUCAGCGGUAAAAUCGCGGGGCUCAACCUCGCUCCGCCGUUGAAACUGGCGUUCUUGAGUGGGUGAGAAGUAUGCGGAAUGCGUGGUGUAGCGGUGAAAUGCAGAGAUAUCACGCAGAACUCCGAUUGCGAAGGCAGCAUACCGGCGCCCGACUGACGCUGAGGCACGAAAGCGUGGGGAUCGAACAGGAUUAGAUACCCUAGUAGUC